rnacentral:rRNA from 1 species
UACGAAGGGGGGCUAGCGUUGCUCGGAUUGACUGGGCGUAAAGGGCGCGUAGGCGGAUAGUACAGUCAGGCGUGAAAUUCCUGGGCUCAACCUGGGGGGCUGCGUUUGAUACGUAUUGUCUGGAGUUCGGAAGAGGGUCGUGGAAUUCCCAGUGUAGAGGUGAAAUUCGUAGAUAUUGGGAAGAACACCGGUGGCGAAGGCGGCGACCUGGUCCGAUACUGACGCUGAGGCGCGAAAGCGUGGGGAGCAAACAGG